UACGGAGGGUGCAAGCGUUAUCCGGAUUCACUGGGUUUAAAGGGCUCGUAGGCGGUCUGUUGCGUCAGGAGUGAAAACUCGGGGCUUAACCCCGAGCCUGCUUCUGAUACGGGCAGACUAGAGGUAUGCAGGGGAGAACGGAAUUCCUGGUGUAGCGGUGAAAUGCGUGACGAUCAGGAGGAACACCGUGGCGAAGGCGUCUACUGGGCAUUAUCUGACGC
rnacentral:rRNA from 1 species